UAAGCGGAGGAAAAGAAACUAACCAGGAUUCCCCUAGUAACGGCGAGUGAACGGGGAUUAGCCCAGCACCGAAGCCUGUGUCCUCUUGGAUGCUAGGCACUGUGGUGUUUAGGUGGUGACAUGUCGGCUCAUCUACUGCCCCAAGUCCAGUAAUGAAUAUGGCUCUUAUAUUGGCCCAGAGAGGGUGAAAGGCCCGUGGGGGUGGUGGCGGUGGGUUGACUAGUUCCACCUUGGAGUCGGGUUGUUUGUGAAUGCAGCCCAAAGUGGGUGGUAGACUCCAUCUAAGGCUAAAUACUGGCACGAGUCCGAUAGCGAACAAGUACCGUGAGGGAAAGUUGAAAAGUACUCUGAAGAGAGAGUAAACAGUGCGUGAAACCGCUGAGAGGUAAACGGGUGUAGUCAAGCUGCAAGCCCUAGGGAUUCAGCUGAUCAGUGUGAUGUGCGUGCAUGAGCACAGUGUUGGUCUGUCGCGGUCUGCCCAAAUUGGUAGGCUUGGCUCCUUGUGGGUCGAGUGCUUGGGUAUCCAAUGGAUACUGAGCGCCGUGCAGAGCCCAACUACUGAUCGGUGCACUUCCUUAGGGUGUAAGCCACGACCACCGUAGCUGCCGGUCUGCCGGGAUCAACCGUCUUGGUGGGGCCAUAUGCCUCGUCCAGGUCGGGAUGGCAGGUGGCCUGGUGUGUGCGCUCGCGUACGUGCCGGGUGUUAUAGCCGAUCCUUGGGCGGUUCAUAAACUGUGCAGUGCGGUGGAGAUAUCGACGUGUUAGCGAUGGCUCAUGUGCUAAAGUCUGCCGGCGUGGUCAACGUCUGGCUGCCUGUAGUCGAUGCAAAAUUCGGCCUGGCGGCGGCUUGUCCACGGUGUAGCGGGCGGCGGCGUGAGCUAGCUAUCGGCCUUGUGCCGGUUCGUCGUCUAUAGUCUGUGGCGUAGUGGUA
rnacentral:rRNA from 2 species